UUAUACCGAACUACGAAUAAUGAAUGGUCCAGGGUAGGCAAAAACUAAUAGCUCUUUUAUGAUUAUGUGAUAGGUGGUGCAUGGCCGUUCUUAGUUCGUGGAGUGAUCUGUCUGCUUAAUUGCGUUUCAAAACAACUGAUACACAGAGUCUUGGCACAGUUCAGUUUAAUGGCGUCGAGUAUCUUUGAUUUCGACAGUAGUCCAACUCGGUUCGCCAGGGUCUCUUUUGAACGCAACGGACGUGAUCGCAACCCUUUGUUGAGUGAUGUCAGCACUCUACGUCUAUCCUAGCUCGUUGAUCGCAAGUGAGAGUUGGGUGGGCAAACUCAGGGGACAGCUUCAACUAUUCUUCUUCAAACUAGAGGAAGGUUGCGGCAAUAACAGGUCUGUGAUGCCCUCAGAUGUUCUAGGCUGCACACGUGCUACAUUGAUCAGCACAAUGCGAUACAUUUCGAAAGGAAACAUCGGUUUUAAGGUAACGUCGAUUGCCUACCGAUAGCACCUGGUCCCCAGUGGACUGGGCAAUCUCUUCUAAAUGCUGGUAAGGUACCCACACUCGAGCUAUUUAAUCACACGCGGGAGGCACACACGGUUCAAAUCUCAUUUGCGACUGUUGCCGCCAUGACGUAUGCAACUUGUCAAUUCUUCGUGGGGAUCGUCGAUUGCAACUAUUCGACUCGCCACAACUAGGAAUGCCUCGUACGGGUCUCGGUUCACCAUACCGCCCGGAAUACGUCCCUGCCCUUUGUACACACCGCCCGUCGCUCUUACCGAUUGAACUAUACUGC
rnacentral:rRNA from 1 species